GACGGAGGAUGCAAGCGUUAUCCGGAAUGAUUGGGCGUAAAGCGUCCGCAGGUGGCAGUUCAAGUCUGCUGUCAAAGACCGGGGCUUAACUUCGGAAAGGCAGUGGAUACUGAACAGCUAGAGUAUGGUAGGGGCAGAGGGAAUUUCCGGUGUAGCGGUGAAAUGCGUAGAUAUCGGAAGGAACACCAGUGGCGAAAGCGGCUUCCUGGUCCAGCACCGACGUUCAGGCACGAAAGCGUGGGGAGCAAACAGG
rnacentral:rRNA from 1 species